rnacentral:rRNA from 1 species
AUACGUAGGGUGCGAGCGUUGUCCGGAAUUACUGGGCGUAAAGAGCUCGUAGGUGGUUUGUCGCGUCGUCUGUGAAAUUCCGGGGCUUAACUCCGGGCGUGCAGGCGAUACGGGCAUAACUUGAGUACUGUAGGGGAGACUGGAAUUCCUGGUGUAGCGGUGAAAUGCGCAGAUAUCAGGAGGAACACCGGUGGCGAAGGCGGGUCUCUGGGCAGUAACUGACGCUGAGGAGCGAAAGCAUGGGUAGCGAACAGGAUUAGAUACCCUGGUAGUCCAUGCCGUAAACGGUGGGCGCUAGGUGUAGGGGUCUUCCACGACUUCUGUGCUGUAGCUAACGCAUUAAGCGCCCCGCCUGGGGAGUACGGCCGCAAGGCUAAAACUCAAAUGAAUUGGCGGGG